GAUGAACGCUGGCGGCGUGCCUAAUACAUGCAAGUCGAGCGAAGAGGGGACGGGUGAGUAACAUGUGGAUAACCCCCUUUAAGACUGGGAUUAAUUCGGGAAACCGGAGGUAAUCCGGCUUCUGUUAGAUGGAUCCGCGCUGCAUUAGCUAGUUGGUAAGGUAACGGCGUACCAAGGCAACGAUGCAUCGCCGGCCUGAGAGGGUGACCGGCCACACUGGAACUGAGACACGGUCCAGACUCCUACGGGAGGCAGCAGUAGGGAAUCUUCCGCAAUGGGCGAAAGCCUGACGGAGCAACGCCGCGUGAGUGAUGAAGGUCUUCGGAUCGUAAAACUCUGUUAGUAGGGAAGCGGUACCUAAUCAGAAAGCCACGGCUAACUACGUGCCAGCAGCCGCGGUAAUUC
rnacentral:rRNA from 1 species